rnacentral:rRNA from 1 species
GAUGAACGCUGGCGGCGUGCUUAACACAUGCAAGUCGAACGAAGCACUUUAACUUGAUUUCUUCGGAUUGAUUGUUAUUGUGACUGAGUGGCGGACGGGUGAGUAACGCGUGGGCAACCUGCCUCAUACAGGGGGAUAACAGUUGGAAACGACUGCUAAUACCGCAUAAGCGCACGGUAUCGCAUGAUACAGUGUGAAAAACUCCGGUGGUAUGAGAUGGACCCGCGUCUGAUUAGCUAGUUGGCGGAGUAACGGCCCACCAAGGCAACGAUCAGUAGCCGACCUGAGAGGGUGACCGGCCACAUUGGGACUGAGACACGGCCCAAACUCCUACGGGAGGCAGCAGUGGGGAAUAUUGCACAAUGGGCGAAAGCCUGAUGCAGCGACGCCGCGUGAACGAUGAAGUAUUUCGGUAUGUAAAGUUCUAUCAGCAGGGAAGAAGAAUGACGGUACCUGACUAAGAAGCACCGGCUAAAUACGUGCCAGCAGCCGCGGUAA